rnacentral:rRNA from 1 species
CAGAGGUCCCGAGCGUUGUUCGGAUUCACUGGGCGUAAAGGGUGCGUAGGUGGCAUGGUAAGUUUGAUGUGAAAGCUCAGGGCUCAACCCUGAAAUGGCAUUGAAUACUACUGUGCUGGAGGUUUGGAGGGGGGACUGGAAUUCUCGGUGUAGCAGUGAAAUGCGUAGAUAUCGAGAGGAACACCAGUGGCGAAGGCGAGUCCCUGGACAACACCUGACACUGAGGCACGAAAGCUAGGGGAGCAAACAGGAUUAGAUACCCUGGUAGUCCUAGCCCUAAACGGUGCGCAUUUGCUGUAAGAGGAAUCGACCCCUUUUGUGGCGAAGCUAACGCGAUAAAUGCGCCGCCUGGGGAGUACGGUCGCAAGAUUA